rnacentral:siRNA from 1 species
UUCGACAAGAUAUUCCAGGUU